rnacentral:rRNA from 1 species
GACGAACGCUGGCGGCGUGCCUAAUACAUGCAAGUCGAGCGAGGCUCUUCGGAGUCUAGCGGCGGACGGGUGAGUAACACGUGGGCAACCUGCCUGUAAGACUGGGAUAACACCGGGAAACCGGUGCUAAUACCGGAUAAUCCUUUUCCUCUCAUGAGGAAAAGCUGAAAGUCGGUUUCGGCUGACACUUACAGAUGGGCCCGCGGCGCAUUAGCUAGUUGGGGAGGUAACGGCUCACCAAGGCGACGAUGCGUAGCCGACCUGAGAGGGUGAUCGGCCACACUGGGACUGAGACACGGCCCAGACUCCUACGGGAGGCAGCAGUAGGGAAUCUUCCACAAUGGACGAAAGUCUGAUGGAGCAACGCCGCGUGAGCGAUGAAGGCCUUCGGGUCGUAAAGCUCUGUUGUUAGGGAAGAACAAGUACCGGAGUAACUGCCGGUACCUUGACGGUACCUAACCAGAAAGCCACGGCUAACUACGUGCCAGCAGCCGCGGUAAUAC